UCUGGCUCAGAUUGAACGCUGGCGGCAGGCCUAACACAUGCAAGUCGAACGGUAGCACAGAGAGCUUGCUCUCGGGUGACGAGUGGCGGACGGGUGAGUAAUGUCUGGGAAACUGCCCGAUGGAGGGGGAUAACUACUGGAAACGGUAGCUAAUACCGCAUAACGUCUUCGGACCAAAGUGGGGGACCUUCGGGCCUCACACCAUCGGAUGUGCCCAGAUGGGAUUAGCUAGUAGGUGGGGUAAUGGCUCACCUAGGCGACGAUCCCUAGCUGGUCUGAGAGGAUGACCAGCCACACUGGAACUGAGACACGGUCCAGACUCCUACGGGAGGCAGCAGUGGGGAAUAUUGCACAAUGGGCGCAAGCCUGAUGCAGCCAUGCCGCGUGUAUGAAGAAGGCCUUCGGGUUGUAAAGUACUUUCAGCGGGGAGGAAGGCGAUAGGGAGUUAAUAGCCUUGCAUCGAUGACGUA
rnacentral:rRNA from 1 species